CCUACGGGAGUCAGCAGUGGGGAAUAUUGGUCAAUGGACGAGAGUCUGAACCAGCCAAGUAGCGUGAAGGAUGACUGCCCUAUGGGUUGUAAACUUCUUUUAUAUGGGAAUAAAAUGUUACACGUGUGGGGUUAUGUGUGUACCAUAUGAAUAAGGAUCGGCUAACUCCGUGCCAGCAGCCGCGGUAAUACUGAGGAUCCGAGGGUUAUCCGGAUUUAUUGGGUUUAAGGGGAGCGUAGGGGGAUUGUUAAGUCAGUUGGGAAAGUUUGUGGCUAAACCGUAAAAUUGCAGUUGAAACUGGCAGUCUUGAGUACAGUAGAGGUGGGCGGAAUUCGUGGUGUAGCGGUGAAAUGCUUAGAUAUCACGAAGAACUCCGAUUGCGAAGGCAGUUCACUGGACUGCAACUGACACUGAGGCUCGAAAGUGUGGGUAUCAAACAGGAUUAGAUCCCCAGGUAGU
rnacentral:rRNA from 1 species